AAAUUACCGCCUAUUGCUUUAAUUUACUUAUUGUACUUCUUUUUGUUACGAUGAGUAUAUACAGGCCUGAAGUUCAUUGAUCAGAUCAAAACCUGAAGUUUCUUGAUCCUCAUCACAUAAAAUGAUUGGACCCGAAGUUUCAUCAUGCAAAAAGAUCAGGAAUGAAGUCCCUAGAUCCUCAAGAUUGGACAUGAAGUUUCUUGAUGAAUACCUUAAGUUUGAAGAGCUGAAGUGCCACAACUUAAUUGUAAUAAAGGCCAUGAGAAUCCCAAUCCAUAGGCUAUUAAAUAAGGACCAGAAAUUCCUUGAUUUAUGUAAAUGAUGAUAUAAUGCAUAUUUGCUGAAGAGUUUACAUCUCGAAGUUUUGAUGAUUAUUGCAUGUCAUUGGACAUUGAUGUUGAACACCAUGUUCCUCAUGUUCAUACUUAAAAUCAUUUAGCAGAAGCAUUUAUUAAGCGGAUGAAAUUGAUUACCCGCGCCCUGCUCAUGAAAAAGAAAUUGCAAGAUAGGGACAUACCAUUUUACAUAAUUCAUUAUUAAGUUCAGUUGAGACCAGUUGCCAAGCAUCAAUAUUUCUCAGUACAACUCGUGUUUGGGCACCAGCCAAACAUUAACAUUUACAAGUUUUUGGUUGAGUUAUCUAUGUGCCUAUUACACUGCCACAACGUACUAAAAUAAAGCCUGAAGGCAAACUGGGAAUUUAUGUUGAAUUUUGUUUGUACCAUACUUAAGGCCUCCGUAUUUAGACAUCGUAUAAAUACUCGGGGACUCAAAUGUAAUUAUGUAAUAAAGGAGGGGGCAAAUAUGUAAUAAGUGAGGAGCCCUUAUUCUAUAAAAGGCCCAUCACUCUCCUCAUUAAGAGAGGCUAAUUCUUAGGCUUGAGAUCCCCAAAGCCUCUCACCCUCUCAAAGACUCUCAAAUUCAGAGAAUAGCCUCACUCUCAUUAUAAAGGCUCUCUCCCUUUUUAACAUCUCAGAGAAAUACAAUAUCAGUGUGGACGUAGCCCAAACAUUGGGGUGAACCACGAUACAUCUUGUGUUCUUUACUUUUCUUGCAGAUUCACGGUCGGAUUUACGUUGUUCCAAGACCCAUCCGGUUUUGUGCAUCAAUAUUUAGCGCCGUUUGUGGGAAACGACACGAAAAACUAUGUCGGUUCUCUUUCAUUUUUUCAUCUCUACCGUGAAUCUGCAAAAUCUGCAAAAAAAACCCACACAAAGACUCAACCAAACUCUUGGUUGCAGUUAAGAUCUACCAAAUACACCACUACGUUUCGGUUUUCUCCACUACUGCUGUCUGCGUCCGCCCUUAAAAUACAUAAAGAAAGAGAAAAAGGAAAGAAAUUUGGGCAAAUUCGAGAGAAACCCACUAUUUUCUUUGUCAUCUUGUUCUUGAACUCCAGAGCUUCUGACCCAAUAGAUCCGCCAUGCUCAGCCUGCGGCCUCGUCGCGAUUCCAUCUCCUCUGCCAUCCAUGACGUCUGCAAGCUCUCUCGAAGCAAUCUCGUCCCUCCAUUUCUCCAACUCGAUUAAGUAUCCUCUU
rnacentral:lncRNA from 1 species